CGGGAGCCACCCUGAGUUCACUUGGACUUGAAAAGUGAACACAGCUGGUGGUAUCU
rnacentral:pre_miRNA from 1 species